rnacentral:rRNA from 1 species
AUUGAACGCUGGCGGCAUGCCUUACACAUGCAAGUCGAACGGUAACAGGCCGCAAGGUGCUGACGAGUGGCGAACGGGUGAGUAAUGCAUCGGAACGUGCCCAGUAGUGGGGGAUAGCCCGGCGAAAGCCGGAUUAAUACCGCAUACGACCUGAGGGUGAAAGGGGGGGAUCGCAAGACCUCUCGCUAUUGGAGCGGCCGAUGUCAGAUUAGCUAGUUGGUGGGGUAAAGGCCUACCAAGGCAACGAUCUGUAGUUGGUCUGAGAGGACGACCAGCCACACUGGGACUGAGACACGGCCCAGACUCCUACGGGAGGCAGCAGUGGGGAAUUUUGGACAAUGGGCGCAAGCCUGGUCCAGCCAUGCCGCGUGCAGGAAGACGGCCCUAUGGGUUGUAAACUGCUUUUGUACCAGAGAAAACCUAUCUACGUGUAGAUAGCUGAUAGUAUGGUAAGAAUAAGCAUCGGCUAACUUCGUGCCAGCAGCCGCCGUAAUAC